rnacentral:lncRNA from 1 species
GCUCUGAGCAGGCCGACAGUCAUAGACGAGUAGACCUUAGGCGAGGGAAGGCAUGUACUUUCCCUAAGAAGCGGGAGGAGAGAAAUAAAUAGAGGGCAGUGGGAUGAGAAGAACCUCGCGGGAUGGGAAGCCGCGGAGGGAAGGGCCGUCUUUGGUUACCUGGAGAGCGGGAGCAGCUGCGGAUCCCUUAUGAAGUGCCCGGAUGAAGCUCCAGCGCUCACGCGCUUUCCGCAUUGAGUGCAGCGCCAUCUUGAGAAGGGCGGAGCCGUCUUGUUUGGAAUGACGUCUGUUCAGAGAGCCAAUCCCAGUCUCGCGACUCCUGCUUGCUGGGCGCGGCUUGGGCCUCCAGGCUGCGCAGCGCAGCCGCUAUCGGGCGGACUGCAGUUCUUGCCGAGCAGCUACUGAAAAUUACCAAGGAGAGGUAGGAGAUAAGAGAUGCCUAUAAAGGAGCUGAAAUCUACCAGGUCGCAAUGAUUUGUAUGACAGCUGCUAGCCCAAGAGAGAGUUCCAGAAGAGGGCUACCUAACAGGUGCUGUGGCAUUUAGAAGAGGAAUGGAGCCAUUGUCAACGCACAGCUUGCAGGGGAGCAGGAGAGUCAGUCUAAGAAGGAAAUGUGAUGAUGGAAACAGAGGUUGGAAGAUGGAAGAGGACCCAGAGUCAAGGAAUGCAGGUAGAAAAGAAAAGCCUGGAUUCUCCCCUAAAGCCUCCAGAUGGAACACAGCCCUGCCUCCACCUUGAUUUCAGGACUUCUUACCCCAAGAAUCGUGUCUGUCUUCAUCCUAAGGAGUCAACUGCUAUACCUUAGUGAUUUCAAUGUAAUUGUUUGGUCUGUAAGUCAUUCUUGCCACUGUGGUUCUGGGGCCAUUGUUCUGCAACGAUGAAUAAACAAUGUUUUAGAAAUCACUCAUCCAAGAAAGGUGACAAGAUACUGGAAUAGAGGUAUUUGAAAAAUAUUCAUGGGAAUUUUAGAGGAUUGUAGAUGGUCUGAAUACCUGUGAAGACAUCAUCUAAUGUAUCUAAAAACCACAUAAUGCUUCAUCUCAAUGUAUUUUAAGAAUUAAUUUUGUUAUAAGCUAGAAUUUUUCAUUUUGGUUUUAAUAAUAACAUCAAAAGGAUUUUUUAACAUAAAUUAGAAAGGGCAUACAUGGAGAAGUAAAGAAGAAUUCUUCUUGGGAUUAGCCAAAAAUUAGUGAGAGAUUACAUAUUUCCUUAGAUGAAAAAUCCUACAGGCAAACUUUUAAUGUCAGGGAGAGGAAUACUUUAUUACCUAAUAAUGUAGAUGAAAAGAAUAGCUAAGCAUUCUUUUUUAAAGCAGUAUACAGAAAUGAGGGAAAGGCUAAGAGGUUAACUCAUUUCUAUUUUGAACUCUAUUUUUUUUAAAACCCUUGCUCCAAAUUUUACUUACUAUCUUUUAAAUGUCAUCCUGCUAGAGUGUAAGUCUUUAGUUUUAGUUGCUUAAUAAAAAUUAAUUUUUUGUGACAAAAG